UGCCAGAAAACUGCGAUGUAAUACUUCCAAGCACGUAUCUGACUGCUUUGUGAGGGAACAUGAGUAUUUCUGAGUUUAUAUGGAG
rnacentral:snoRNA from 1 species